rnacentral:lncRNA from 1 species
AACUUUGACAUUAUCUGGAAAAAUAAAUUUGAUAAAAGGAUGUCUUUUUCGCCAUGGCCUGAUAAAUAAAGUAAACAACAAAAUUUAACAUACAAAAGAGUUGUUGCAUUGAACUGAUUAACAGAUUUCUUUAUUUUUUUUAUGUUGCAUUAUUAGAACACCAGCGAUAGCUACCGUUUAUAGUCAAAUCACUUAUGCCUUUACUAUUCACAAGUUUCACCAUCUAAUAAGGGUUUGUUAGUACUCUUUAGUUAACGAAAUAUUUUAUUGAAUUAAAGGAUUACGAAAAUUCAGUUCUUUUUGUACAUUAGUAGCAAAGGAGAAGCAAAGGUAAAAAAGCUAUGUACGCCAGGUUCAUUACAAACUCCAGGAAUCAAACCAAAACAGACAAAGGAAUGAAUCCAAAAUAUAUACAAUGUCUAUACACUUUCAUAUUCACUAAAUGACAAAUUUUGAUGAUAUGCAUGAAAUAACAAAACAGAAAAUAUAUAAAAAGAUAAAUAAUAUCUGGAAUAAAAAACAAAUAAUGCAGUAAAACAUGACAUCCAAAACAAGGUGCUUGUACAAAACAAAUACUUAUUUCAUCUAAAUAAUAAUACCUAAAUGAUUACAUUGAAUUUUCAAAAUGUAACCAAGCAUCAACCUAAAAAAUAGUAGUUUCCUUUUUUCUUCCUAACACUGGGUGUUUAGCAAACAACAUAUUUUGUUUCAAAAGCCAGAUAGUAUUAUAAGUACAGAAACAUUAUAUGAAAUAUAAACUGUUUCCAAUUUUUGGCCCUCCCAGUUUUUAGUUGCUGAUGUUUAUCAAAUAUUCAAAAUGGCAUGCAAAAGAGAGAUAUUUUCUAAAGAGGCAAUGCUCUUAUGUUAACCAAUCACUUAUUGGCAGAAUAACUCAACUGUCACUAAACUAAGUUCUUUUCACUACUGAAAAGAACUGCUGAUUGUGCAGUAAAUCCUAGAUUUAUUUUUGUACAAGUAUCAAGUUUUGAGCAAAUAUCAAUGAUUAGAAAUGAUUAUCAUGAUCAACUAGAAAAGAAUGUUUAUCACAGGUGAAGUGUCAAGAAAUGUCGAGUAUACAGUCAUGUGACUGACAACAACCUUUGUUCAUUACCAAAUAUCAUCUCACUCUUAGACCCAGUAUUAAAGAUGCUAUUAUUUAGCAAUGAUAUUAAAAUGGACUCAAUCAGUAAUAAUACUUUCAAUGGUGAAAAUAUUCAAAAGAGUGCAUAAAUAUCUCUUCUUGCAAAUCUCAGGAACAAAGUUUUUUUCACGUAUUUUGUCAGGUAGAUUAGGACGUAUAUGAAUUGUACGAAUAUCCUUAUUUUAAACCAAACUUCCCCAUUUUACUGUUACUAUUGAAGUAAUCUCAUCAGUUAUUUCUUUACAUCUAACUUAAAUAGUUAUGCAGCAAAUAAAACUUCUAAAGAUUAACAAAAUGUCAUAAAUGGUAGAUUCCUUUUAGAACCUGUACAUCAAAUUGGAUGUCAUAUAUGGCUGAUAUUUUGAUCAAUAUAGCCCAUAACUCAAUAUGAUAAUUUUGCAUUGUAUAUUGUUAUAACUUGAAUCUGAAGCACGUAAAUGAUGUUAUACAUGUAAUGAAUGAAAUGAAAAACAGAUCUAACUUGAAAUAAAAAAAAGAAAGAAGGAAAAAAGAAAAGCAAAGUAUCAAAAUGAAAGUAAUAAUGUAUUUUUCGCAAUUUUACUUUACUAUAAAACCAGGAAAAGUAAGCAACAGAAGAAAAAAAAGUACAAAAAGAUUGUCAAAAAUUCACCAUUUGUUAUCAUUAUCUAUUAUUAAUUCAAAGGUUUUAACUGUAAAUGACUUUAAAUAAGAUGAUAACUUAAAAGAUUCCCCUCCUAGAAACAACUAUAUAUGUCUAAAUUCAACUUUCAGCUUUUCUACAAAUUUUGAAAAGGUCGGGACCAAAUAUAAUUAGGAUGCUUGCUGACCAGUAAUUAAAUUACUUUGGUAAGUCUGCAUGUUCUGAAUGACGGUCAACAAAUUGUAGAGACUUAAACAAUGAAAUAUAAGACUCUAGUGACAUGUAAAGUUUGUCCCUUCUUAUAUACUAAUGAGCUAGUGAUCUAUUCUUGAGUACUCUAAUGAUUCUAAAGAAUGAACCACUGUUGCCACUAAAGUAAAAGUAUAUAUAAACUAAAAUCAUUUCCCUGAGAACUGAACUAGUGUGACAAGAAAUGGAAAACAGUUUAGCAGUUGGACAUACUAAAUAAACUAAAUUAAGCCCAAAUGUGUUUACCCUAAGUAAAAAAUUAAAGGGAAACUGAAAUCAAAUAUAUUAUCAUCUUCCACCAAAUAAUUUGCCAGUAAUUUUUUUUAUUGUACAUUUUCUCAUCUAUAAAAGCAAAUAUGACAGUAAAAUUAACAUAAGAAGCAAAUUAAAAAUGACCAAAGCUUUGAUGCGUAAAUAAAUAUUUCAAUAAAAAUGUACACCUAACAUAAACAUUGAGAAUUGAUAUAAAGAACUGCAUAACUCUCAUAAAAUGUUUGCCCUAUAAGAACUAAAUUAACAGUCCAGAUACAAAUACAAACUAUGUAUGAUUCGGUUCUAGUUUCAAAAAAUAAUGUAAAUGAAAGCGGAACGAAAUUUCUGUUUAUUCAACAAUGCAUAACAUUUCAGGAGAUUUAAGAUUUCAUUUUCCCCAUAGUCCCCAUAGAUUUUUUACAUACAAAAUUUCAUUUCAGGUGGCUCAUAUUAUGACUUUUUUAUGCAUGCAAGUCUGCAUUUAAUAGCUUUAUUAUGGAUUCUAUAGUGGAAUCUUCAUGAAAAAGUUUAAGCUGACCGAUGCCACUAGUUUAGAUUUGCAUCUAAAUAAAAGAAUUUUUCAAAGACAAAAUAUUAAUCCAAUCUGUGGUAGCUUUUGGUUUGUGUGGAAAUAAAUCACAACUUUUCAAGAUUAAGGCUAAUAAUUAAGAUUGGACAUGUAGUUUUGAGUAGGUUUUUGCAAAUGAUUAACAAUGUAGCAUGCGCAUCAAGUGAUUGAAACAUUUUUACUGAGUACUUGUUAAUGCGGACAACCUUAAAAAUCUAUUGAUUUUUAUUAUGCAUAUGACAUAUGGACUACAUGUAAAAUCCUCCCCUAUGAAAACAGAGACAGUGUAAUACUUGGAAAGUAUAAAGUUAUUUGGCAGGGAUGUAUUUUCCCUAUAAUUUAAUUACACCUUGAAAACAUUUUUAAAUUUGAACAAUAUAUAUGCUGAUUUAACACCAUUGUGUAGAUUAUUGUAAUAUAUUUACAUAAAAAGCAUUAACUUACAGGUAACAGAGUUAGAUAAGUCUGCAGAAAUUGACCUUCUAGUAUCUCAACAUUUGGUCACUGAAAUCUCACAUUAAUUCUAAUGAGCCAGAUAUCUGUUGCUUAUUUUACACAGAAAAUCUACCAAUAACUCCAGACAAUACCCCUAUCUUAUUAUUGAUAUAAUAUACCAAAUAGGAAAUGUGACAAGAGAACUUAAUAGUAACUGUACAUUCAUACUGAACACUUCAGACAUACUGAACUUGAAGAAUACCAAUAGAAUACUACAACCAGAUGCUCCACAGGGCGCAGCUUUAUACGACUGCAAAGGUUGAACCCUGGACGGUUGGGGCAAGUAUGGACACAACAUUCAAGCUGGAUACAGCUCUAAAUUUGGAUUGUGAUUAAAUAGUUGACACAGCAUAGGUUUCUGACACAGAAUGAAUGUGGUCUAAUGAACUUAAAAUUUGUUUUUUGCCUUUGAGCAAUUCACUAUGCUGUUGAAUAUUAAUCCUCUCAAAAAAAUGUUUGAAGAAAUUUUCUUUUUAUUUAUGAAAUCUGAAAUGAGAAAAAUUUACCCCCCCUUUUUUUUUCACAUCCCCCUUUCCCUUUUUUCCAAAACUGAUCUCAAUUCAAAUUUCUAAUGGAGUUUGCAACAAUAACUACUCAUUUUAAAUACAUCAUAAAUAUUAAAAUGUAACAAAAGGUG